rnacentral:lncRNA from 1 species
AUGAUCCUUCCUUUAUUAUCCCCCAUCUCCUGCAAUAGAGAUCCCCUUCUGCUUCCUCAUCCUUACAGCUUAGGGAGCUGCAGAAGCAUUUUCAAAGCAGUUUGUGUGUGGAGAAGUGUUCUUGCUUGCUGGUGUUCCUUUUUUUUAAUGUCCCCUGCACAGGCAGGGUCGGGAAUGUUCCUGGUGACGAAGCAGAUCCAUGUGAAUGUUCUGAGGAGAGGGGUACAAGGCAGUGUAGAACAGAUUUAUAACACCGAGACCUGUGGUAGCACCAGUUUUGAGGAGCUGUCAAGCCAGCCCUGUUUUCCAGAGUUCUUUGCAAGGAGGCAGCCCAGCAGGAGGCAGAGCACAGUCCCUGCAGCAGGACAGGAGAGUGGUCCCCUUGUGGGGCUGCAACAUCUGGCAGGUUUGUUUGUGGGAUCUGCCAGCUGCUGUCCCAUGGUCACUGCAGCUCCGAGCCUGUCCCCAGGGCCUGGGCACCUGCAGCUCUGGGCAGAAUUGCCUGAACACAGCUUUUGUUGUGUUUUCAUUUAAACAGCCACACACUUCCCAUCCACACGGUACCCAACGCUCCAGGAGUGCCAUCCCAGCUUCCCUGGGUGUGGCCAGCUGCUGGCACCCAGGAAAGAUCCAGGGGUGCUUUUCCAGCACUGCUGAGCCAGGAGCUCCUGCCAAGCAGGAUUCCUGAGCACUGGGAGCUGUGCUGGGGUGAGGGGGCACUCAGGCUCUCACCACCAGCUUCCCACAGCCCCCCCAGAUCCUGCUGUUAAAGCCAGACCUGGAAUGCUGAGGAGAGGCCACAUGUGACAGCUCUGCCCCUGACUCCCUCUCUGUGUGACUGGAAUUACAGGAGAUCCUUCCAGCUGAACGUUGAGUUCACAUCAUUCUGCUGUCACAGGUGCAUUCCUGCUUUGGAACAGGAAUUUUCCUUUGGGAAUUGCUUCUCUGAAUUCCCUCCCUGUUUUUUACCAGGCCCUUUUGGAUACUUGGUGCUGGAAGUUUCUCUGCCCACCUCUCCUGGCAUCCAGGUCCUGCUCCCUGCAGGGCAGAGUCCAUCCCAUCCUUCCCUUUCCAGCUGGAGGUGCUGUACAUCCUUUCCUCCCUCCUUUGGAACCUUGGUGAAUCCCCCUCUCUUUUUCCAGAGGGAUUCGUGACAUUAUCUGAGGAAUAUUUGAUUUCCCCCCCAACUCCCUCACAGUACCAACUAACUUAAAAAUGAGACCUAUUCAAAAGUGCAGGAGCUUCCUAAAAGGAAAUUAAAAGCAGCUGCUCUAAGGAUGCAGGAGAUGAGAAAGGAGAUAAACCCACCCUAUCUGAAGCUCAGAGCAAUAUAUCACUAAGUGAAAUAAUUCUACAAGGGACCAAAAAGGCAAUAUUCUAACAGCAGAGUGGAAAGAGAGUAUUCAAAAUCUGGGGUUUCAGAGCAAAUAAAGAAACUAUGGCAGAAAAAACA